GUCAAUUCACCCCCUCUAUUCUACUUCUCCCCACCCACUGUUCACUCACCCCAAAUAUCCUGCUUAAGAAACUCUUGCUUUCAGAAUCUCUGGGCCUGGUGUCCUGAGAUGGUAGGCCAUUCCCAAGAGCAGAAGUCUCCCUCCCUCACUCCCUUCCUUCCUUCCAUUCUUCACCAAAUUCAACUCAUAUUUCCUGAGUUCCUUCUCUGUGUCAAGAGUUGGAGAGAGAAUUUUCUUCUCGUUCUGUUUGAAGCUUUGAAAGAUGAAUCCAGCCAGAAACCAGAAAUGGAACCACUGGGCUGGAACUGUGUGCCACUGGGGCAGCAGCAGAGGGCUGGCGUGUGAGCAGAUGGGCAGAAACGGACUCGGCUGGAUCCUGAAGUAGGCGCACAUACAGAGGGGCCAGCUUAGCUGAGCUGCCCAGAAAGAAAUGGAGCAAAGGAAGCAGAACAAGCCUCUCUCAUGUUGCACGCCCUCUAAAUGUCACUCUCCCUUCUGUUCCCUGUGGCCUGGGGCUGUCUAAAAUACUCAGGCAGUGGUGCUGACUCGAAAGCUUUGGCCCUGGAGAAGGCGAGAGACUGAGCUUGGAGAGUAGAGGGCAUCUUGAAUCCCCACUGAAGGAGGCAGGAGGAGAAUUCAGAAAGGCAGGGAGUGUGACUGUGUUUGCUUUCCAGAAUGAACAAAAAACUCUGCUGGGGUGACUUCUGGUUCUCUCUCUGAAGAGAACUUGACUUUUCAAUGCCUUGGUUGCUUUUUCUCCACCAGGGAGGAGCUUAAACUGCAAAGUGUGUUACCUCACUGCAAGUAGGAGGGAGGAUGUGCCAGGGGAGGCUCUUUAACACAGAGCAGUGGGGCAGGAUGAGUCCCAAAGGCCAGGCCGCCAUCGGUGAGUGCCCUGCAGGCUGAUGGGUGUGCUGGGGGAGCCACCAGCUAAGAUGGAGGCUCAGAGGUGACAGCUCUCUGGAAAGGAGACUGGAGCCAUGAAGUUGAGUUGGGGGCAUAGGUUUCUCACUCAAAUAUUUAUCUUGUAUUAUCGAGUGGACUUUUGUGGGUACUGGCUCCCUAAUUUGACCUUGGGUGCUUAGAAAACAUCAUCUACUUAUAUGUCACCCAGAGAAUCCAUUCCAGAGGUGACUAAACCCAUGAAGGGGUCACAGUCAGUACAUGAGUUUUGAUUAAUUGCUGGAGAAUGGGGGAGGUGUUAUGGCGUGGAACAAAAUCUAGGUCUGCAGCAUGCAGCCAGGCCUGACAAAACUGCCUCUCAUAACCUUCCUCAGGACAGCUGAGCCCUCCCAUGGGCAGGGAUCGCCCCUCAGGCCACCUGGGCACACAGAACAAAUUGCCAGAAGGAGACUUGAAAUCCAGAUUAAGUGCAUUUUUUGAUGAGACGGAAGAAAUGAGGAGGAGGAAAGGCCCUGGCAGGCAUCUUUGGGUUUACAGAGGGCACCAAAAAAAUGUCAUUUGAGGAAUGGGGAAAGGAGACAAAGAGGUUAGUGUGCCAGGAAGCCAGGGAGUAAUCAGGCCAGGAAACAGAAUAGGAGGGAAAGAGGGCCACAAAGAAAGGAGGAGGUGGGAGAACAAAGGUGAGGAGGUGAUGCAGCUCACUCAAUGUGAGGGUGACCCGGGUGGAAGGAAGGCUGCCAGGCCCCUGCUCAGAAUUUCUCCUGACACUGAGAGUUGUCCUCAGGUGCUGGCAGAAUGUAACACCCUGUGUCAGAGGGCUCCAGGGCAGCCUCUCAGACAGACUGUCCUGCACGGAAGAAAGGACAGGCCCCCUUCUGGCUCCCUUAGUGGGAGUCAGCCUCCACCUGCCACUGGCCCCUCACUCACACGGACAGCUGCCAAACACCCUUUGCAGAGGAGCAGCAGCACUGGGAAUUCUGAAGAAAGAUGUGGAGAGACGUUGCUUCUGUCCAUACUGUUUCAUUCUUUGGGAACCCUAAAUGGACUGGCAGGGACAGCCCACAAGACUAGUGCAGGGCAUACGCCAGGCCAAGUAGACCAGGCCUGGGCUGACAGCCCAGAGUUCAUUUGUUCACUCAACAAACAUUUGCUGAGUGUCUGCUAGAAUAGAGCAAACAAGACAAGGUGCUGUCUCUCAGAUUCUAGUUCACCUAGUCAUGGGUGACGGACCAAUGAACAGUAAGAUACUUUGUAGGUGUGUUAAGCAAGCCCCUUGGUUUGUUUUGUUGUUGUUCUGUUUUUUCGUCUUUGCUGCUCAACCAGAUUGAGGACACCUGGGACCAGGUCUUCUCCAUGCUGAUGGCAACAAUGCAGAACAGAAACACAGUCUUUUGGGGUAAAAGGGAGAGGAAGGCUUCCAAGGGUGGACUCCUCCAGAAAGAAAGACAGCAGCCUCCUUACUGGUAUUCCUUCCAUCAGUGUGUCCCCCUAACUCACCCUCCUACACUCCGAGAGGAGCCUUUAAACAUGCUCAUCUCAUCCUGUGAUUCCCGGCUUUAAAAGUUUUGAUGAUAAAUCUGCUGGGAUAUUUUUGACUCUCUCUCUCCCUUUUUUAAAAAAAAGAUUUUGUUUGUUUGUUUGUUUGUUUGUUUAUGAGAGAGGGGAAGGGAAGGAGAAAGAGAGGGAGAGCAAUACCAAUUGGUUGCCUCUCACACAUGCGGGUGACCUUUUCGUUUGUAGGACAGUGCCCAACCCACUGAGCCACACCAGCCAGGGCUGCUUUUGACUCUUAAGAAAUAGAAAGCUGCCAGAGAGGAUGUGGGGGACCAAGGGAAGCUUAAAGAACCUAAGGGCUGCGAGCACAGUUUUUAUAUUCAGCCUGAGUUCAUGUUCUACCUCUACCACUUCUAAGUCAUGUGAAAGGCCAAGCCACUCAACCUUUUGUGAGACUUCCUCAUUUGUAAAAUGAUAAACAAACAA